rnacentral:rRNA from 1 species
AUUGAACGCUGGCGGCAUGCCUAACACAUGCAAGUCGAGCGAGCGGCGGACGGGUGAGUACUGUCUGGGAACCUCCCUGAUGGAGGGGGAUAACUACUGGAAACGGUAGCUCAUACCGCAUACCAUCAGAUGUGCCCAGAUGGGAGGAGCUAGUAGGUGGGGUAAAGGCCCACCUAGGCGACGAAACCUAGCUGGGCUGAGAGGAUGACCAGCAACACGGGAACUGAGAAACGGUCCAGACUCCUACGGGAGGAACAAGUGGGGAAUAUUGGACAAUGGGCGAAAGCAUAAUGCAGCCAGGCAGCGUGUGUGAAGAAGGCCUUGGGGUUGUAAAGGACGUUCAGCGGGGAGGCGUUACCCGCAGAAGAAGCACCGGCUAACUCCGUGCCAGCAGCCGCGGUAAUAC